CCUUUUGGACUCUCUAUGAUUGGCAUGGACUGGGGGGCGACUCCAGCGUAUUAAUCAUAGACAGUUUAACAAGACAUGAAGUAGAGAGUAGAGAACAAGAACGUAUGUAGUGCAGAAGAAGAAGGAGACGAGCAGCGAGCGACUUGGCAGAGUUCUGACUUGGUCGAAUUUCUCAAAGUUGCAAGUUGGAAGGAUGGACUGGGGGAGACAAGGGCUCUGUAGCAGCGCGGUUGAGGACUUGGACAGGUCCCCUUCGCAGAGAGCAAGGCUCCAGGCAGUGCGAGCGGUGGGUGAGGGUGAGGACUGGGCUGAGGCCAAAGUUGAGAGCUGGCAGACUUGGGUUGGUACUGGUGAGCAUGCUGGGUUCUGCAAAGGACCAAGUAUGAGUGCUGAUGCCCCCAAGGCUGCCAGUUUGCUUGUGUGUCCUUCCAGGAGCGACAG
rnacentral:misc_RNA from 1 species